CUCGUCCUUCCUCCCUUCCUGCCUUUUUUCUUUGUCCAAUGGUGCCAACUAACAUGGAACAAUAAGGGAUACUAUUAAUUGCCCACUUGUUGGAGACAUCAGAUCUCUUAUAUUAGAAUGAAAAAGAGCAAAUAAAUAUAUUUCUGCAUAUUCAAAUAACUAUAAAAAACAGAAAUCAUUUUUUUCUUUCAUAAAUUAAAAAAAUGGCAGUCUUCCAGCAAAAAUAUAUUUUCAGUAAUUCUACAAAACUUCUACCAAAGGAAGGUGUUGAAUUUAUACAGUCACCUACUACUGUGCUAGAUCUUAUAUAAGGAAAGUAGAAAUAUCAAUAGGUGUAGAGUUACAAGCCAAAAAAGCAAUUGGAACAAAAGCUGAGCAUUUCUAGUAUAAUAAAUCAAGCCUCACCUUUCGACUUAGUCUGACCAGGUUAUUUCUAUUUUAACCCCGUUUUGAUCUUCAAUUUGAAUGCGGCAAGGCUCAACCUACAUCGAUCAUUUCCUUCCAACGUUUGAUUUUUCUGUCAUUCUUGUGGGAGUGUAGAAGAUUUUUAAAUAUCAAUGUCUGGUCUGUAUUCCCUAGGGCCUAGCUGAUAGUUUGAGAUAUUGUAAAAACCUGGGGAUUUUUAAUGAGAGUAGAAGUUUCGUGAAACUUAGUUCUCAAAAAGCUUCUCAGAGUUUAUUCAUCAAAUAAUUCAGGGUGUAAAAGUAGCACAUAAACAUUAAUUGAAUAGCCAUUAAGCAGUAUGACUAUUUGUUUUUGGUUGAUAGAGGACAUAAAGUUCCGUACCCUGUGGUGGAAAACAAUUAAGUCUUAUGAUGAGCAUGCCAUUAAAUAUACUACUACCAGACGUAGACCAGUUCCACUUUACAAAAUAGCAGUCAGCUGCUGUCAAAAGCCAGCCUGCGUUAUAGGAUGUCAUAAUUUUACUGUCAUGGCUUAGCUGCUUAUAAAUAUUGUAGUGUGCCUCAUGCCUCAUGCUAAUGCGAUGACUAAUGGUUGUCAUUAUCUUCAUUCAAUCUCAUAAAAAACUUCCUCAGGAGAGCCCGAUCCUAGCUUGAAUGCUGCUUAAAGCUAAACUGUUUUUUCUAAAACACAGAAUAUAAAAAGCACUUAAGUACAAGAGGUUGGAUGGAUAAUUUAUUUUGUUUUGAGUAUGUUUGACAGCUGCUCCUGUGGUUAAAUUUGCCAUGAGCCGAAUUGAUGUCCCUUAUGGGAAUGCCUUAUAGAUGCCUAUAUGUGUAAUUGCAUAAUGCUUUACAGUUGUUCUGCUCAUCUGGGACCAUAGGUGAAGAUGUGCGAUAGAAAAACGAAAGGCUGGAAUAAAUUGGACACUGACUGUUUGGAGGGUCCAAGAUUUUAACCAUGGGGUUAAAGAAACAAAGAGAUGGAGAGCUCUGUGCUACUCUCACAGUGAGAAAAUCUGAAUCCAAUGAAGGUCUGACUCCAUAACAACAUAUGCCUGAGGAUGAUAUACUGCCUUCCUGUUUCCUUGUCAACAGUAACUGGGACAAAUGAGAAGAGAAUUUGGAUUUGAAUCAAGGUGAUUCUGAAGUGCACCAUGAAUAACAACCCCUGGAUUAAAAUAUUGGUGGAGCAUAUUAACAUGUUAAUUCUGCAGAUUAUAAAAGGAAGAGGUCCAGUUUGGACUGAGAUUUUAAAAGAUGGGCUUAUAGAAGAGAUGCGAUUUCAGUGAAAGGUCAGAUGUGGACAAGAGCAUAAUGAUAAUUGACUUUCAUCAUUAUAAAACCCUCAAGUGACAGCUGAAUUAUUCAAGCCUUCAAAAAAUGUAUACAUUAAACUUGGUUGUAUAUUAAAAAUCCUAACAAAAACCUUAGAAGUUUCUCAUGCAGAUGGCAAUGUGAACAUGUGGCUUCCAUAAACUGUUCAAUAUUAUCACAGUAUCUAAAAGGCCAGAAGGGAUCUUCAGUAACUACAAGUUUCAUUUACAUAAAUUCAUCAGUUUCAAUCAAAUGAUCAUCCCUGAGCAAAAACCAUUUGAGAAACACUCAGAACUUAUACACACAUUCUGACAAUGUGUGCUUGUCCCAAUGACCAGCAUCCUAGGUCUUCAUUGCUUCA